AAAACGACUCUCGGCAACGGAUAUCUCGGCUCUCGCAUCGAUGAAGAACGUAGCGAAAUGCGAUACUUGGUGUGAAUUGCAGAAUCCCGCGAACCAUCGAGUCUUUGAACGCAAGUUGCGCCCGAAGCCUUCCGGCCGAGGGCACGCCUGCCUGGGUGUCAUGC
rnacentral:rRNA from 1 species